CCAACAGGGAUUGCCCUAGUAACGGCGAGUGAAGCGGCAACAGCUCAAAUUUGAAAUCUGGCUUCGGCCCGAGUUGUAAUUUGCAGAGGAUGCUUCUGGCGCGGUGCCUUCCGAGUUCCCUGGAACGGGACGCCACAGAGGGUGAGAGCCCCGUAUGGUCGGACACCAAGCCUGUGUGAAGCUCCUUCGACGAGUCGAGUAGUUUGGGAAUGCUGCUCUAAAUGGGAGGUAAAUCUCUUCUAAAGCUAAAUACCGGCCAGAGACCGAUAGCGCACAAGUAGAGUGAUCGAAAGAUGAAAAGCACCUUGAAAAGGGGGUUAAAUAGUACGUGAAAUUGUUGAAAGGGAAGCACUUAUGACCAGACUUGGGCCGGGCGGCUCAUCAGGGGUUCUCCCCUGUGCAUUCCGCCCGGCACAGGCCAGCAUCGGUUUUCGCGGGGGGAUAAGACCGGCGGGAACGUAGCACCCUCCGGGGUGUGUUAUAGCCCACCGGACGAUACCCUCGCGGGGACCGAGGUCCGCGCUCCGCAAGGAUGCUG
rnacentral:rRNA from 1 species